rnacentral:rRNA from 1 species
CUUCGGGGUGAGUGGCGGACGGGUGAGUAUCGCGUAGGGAUCUAUCCACGGGUGGGGGAUAACAUCGGGAAACUGGUGCUAAUACCGCAUGAUACCUGAGGGUCAAAGGCGCAAGUCGCCUGUGGAGGAGCCUGCGUUCGAUUAGCUUGUUGGUGGGGUAAAGGCCUACCAAGGCGAUGAUCGAUAGCUGGUCUGAGAGGAUGAUCAGCCACACUGGGACUGAGACACGGCCCAGACUCCUACGGGAGGCAGCAGUGGGGAAUAUUGGACAAUGGGCGAAAGCCUGAUCCAGCAAUGCCGCGUGUGUGAAGAAGGUCUUCGGAUUGUAAAGCACUUUCGACGGGGACGAUGAUGACGGUACCCGUAGAAGAAGCCCCGGCUAACUUCGUGCCAGCAGCCGCGGUAAUACGAAGGGGGCUAGCGUUGCUCGGAAUGACUGGGCGUAAAGGGCGCGUAGGCGGUUUACACAGUCAGAUGUGAAAUUCC